AUUGAACGCUGGCGGCAUGCCUUACACAUGCAAGUCGAACGGCAGCACGGGAGCAAUCCUGGUGGCGAGUGGCGAACGGGUGAGUAAAGUAUCGGAACGUGCCCAGUCGUGGGGGAUAACGUAGCGAAAGUUACGCUAAUACCGCAUACGAUCUAUGGAUGAAAGCGGGGGAUCGCAAGACCUCGCGCGAUUGGAGCGGCCGAUAUCAGAUUAGGUAGUUGGUGGGGUAAAGGCUCACCAAGCCGACGAUCUGUAGCUGGUCUGGGAGGACGACCAGCCACACUGGGACUGGGACACGGCCCAGACUCCUACGGGAGGCAGCAGUGGGGAAUUUUGGACAAUGGGCGAAAGCCUGAUCCAGCCAUGCCGCUUGAAGGAUGAAGGCCUUCGGGUUGUAAACUGCUUUUGUACGGAACGAAAAGGUUUGGCCUAAUAAGCUGAGCUCAUGACGGUACCGUAAGAAUAAGCACCGGCUAACUACGUGCCAGCCGCCGCCGUAA
rnacentral:rRNA from 1 species